UAUUGAAACCUAGUUUGAAAUUUGGAUUUCUCAAGUCAUCUUUCUCAGAUCGGUCCUUUAAAUGAUAGAACACUGAACACCUAUGCUUCAAUUUUCAAAGUGAAUCACUUCCACUUUAUCUUCCUAUUGUAGCUUUACCUUGAUCCUCGUACUUACUCACACACCAGUUAACAGAGAAGAGUGAUGCUUACAGCCUCGGAUUGUUUUUCUCGAGUUGUUGACGAGAUGAAGCCUAUUUCUCAUGGUAGAAACAUUGUCCAGCUGGUGAAUUCAGCAUGUCAAUCUGGAUGAUGUACUCCGUAAUAGACAACGGCAUGGGUCCUACUCUUCCGAAUGCCUCAGAAGAUUUAUGGCAUGCUCUCAAGUGUUGUGAGGAUGAGACAGAGCGUUGACCUUCAAUGCUGGAAGUGAUGCCAAGGUGGAGAUUUUGCCUAAUUGGGAUCAUACUUGUUCUACUUUCAUGUCACCUUCUGCAACUUGCUUCUGCACGAUUACUCAUCCGUUGGAAGUUGAUGCUUUGCAAGCUGUCCGCCGAGCACUCAAAGAUACGGGGAAAAACCUCAAUAGCUGGAAAAAGAUGACCAUGUGUAUCAAAU